rnacentral:rRNA from 1 species
GAUGAACGCUGGCGGCGUGCUUAAUACAUGCAAGUCGAACGGAGGUAUGUAGCAAUAUAUAUCUUAGUGGCGAACGGGUGAGUAACGCGUUGGUGACCUACCCCAGAGAGGGGGAUAACAGCUCGAAAGGGCUGCUAAUACCCCAUGUGGUCAUGGUAGUUAGAGAGCCAUGACGAAAGGUGCAAACCGCUCUGGGAGGGGCCUGCGUCCCAUCAGCUAGUUGGUAAGGUAACGGCUUACCAAGGCGACGACGGGUAGGGGGCCUGAGAGGGUGAUCCCCCACACUGGCACUGAAACACGGGCCAGACACCUACGGGAGGCUG